rnacentral:rRNA from 1 species
AAGGUGCUGCAUGGUUGUCGUCAGCUCGUGCCGUGAGGUGUCGGGUUAAGUCCCAUAACGAGCGCAACCCUUAUCGUUAGUUGCCAUCUGGUAAUGCAGGGGACUCUAGCGAAACUGCCACCGUAAGGUGAGAGGAAGGUGGGGAUGACGUCAAAUCAGCACGGCCCUUAUGUCCAGGGCUACACACGUGUUACAAUGGUCGGUACAGAGGGCAGCUACCUGGUGACAGGGAUGCUAAUCUCGAAAACCGGUCUCAGUUCGGAUCGAAGUCUGCAACUCGACUUCGUGAAGCUGGAUUCGCUAGUAAUCGCGCAUCAGCUAUGGCGCGGUGAAUACGUUCCCGGGCCUU